UACGAAGGGUGCAAGCGUUAUUCGGAAUUACUGGGCGUAAAGGGUGCGUAGGCGGUUCGUUAAGUCUGUUGUGAAAUCCCCGGGCUCAACCUGGGAAUGGCGAUGGAUACUGGCGAGCUAGAGUGUGUCAGAGGAUGGUGGAAUUCCCGGUGUAGCGGUGAAAUGCGUAGAGAUCGGGAGGAACAUCAGUGGCGAAGGCGGCCAUCUGGGACAACACUGACGCUGAAGCACGAAAGCGUGGGGAGCAAACAGG
rnacentral:rRNA from 1 species